CUUCCAGUAGCACCUUAGAGACCAACUAAGUUUGUUAUUGGUAUGGCCAACUUAGUUGGUCUCUAUGGUGCUACUGGAAA